AGCAGCCGCGGUAAUUCCAGCUCCAAUAGCGUAUAUUAAAGUUGUUGCAGUUAAAAAGCUCGUAGUUGAAUUUCGGGAUCAAGUUGUUGGUCGUGCCUCGGUACGCACUGGUGACAUUGGUUUCUCCCUUCUGAAGAACCUUGAUGUCAUUAAUUUGGUGUCUUGGGGAAUCAGGACUGUUACUUUGAAAAAAUUAGAGUGUUUAAAGCAGGCUCACGCUUGAAUACAUUAGCAUGGAAUAAUGAAAUAGGACGUUUGAUUCUAUUUUGUUGGUUUCUAGGAUCGACGUAAUGAUUAAUAGGGAUAGUUGGGGGCAUUAGUAUUCAAUUGUCAGAGGUGAAAUUCUUGGAUUUGUUGAAGACUAACUACUGCGAAAGCAUUUGCCAAGGAUGUUUUCAUUAAUCAAGAACGAAAGUUAGGGGAUCGAAGACGAUCAGAUACCGUCGUAGUCUUAACCAUAAACUAUGCCGACUAGGGAUCGGAUGAUGUUAAUUUUUAAUGACUCAUUCGGCGCCUUAAC
rnacentral:rRNA from 1 species